CCUACGGGGGGCAGCAGUGAGGGAUAUUGCACAAUGGGGGAAACCCUGAUGCAGCGACGCCGCGUGGGUGAAGAAGCGCCUCGGCGCGUAAAGCCCUGUCAGCAGGGAAGAAAAUGACGGUACCUGAAGAAGAAGCCCCAGCUAACUACGUGCCAGCAGCCGCGGUAAUACGUAGGGGGCAAGCGUUAUCCGGAUUUACUGGGUGUAAAGGAGGCGCAGACGGCGAUGCAAGCCAGGAGUGAAAGCCCGGGGCCCAACCCCGGGACUGCUCUUGGAACUGCGUGGCUAGAGUGCAGGAGGGGCAGGCGGAAUUCCUGGUGUAGCGGUGAAAUGCGUAGAUAUCAGGAGGAACACCGGUGGCGAAGGCGGCCUGCUGGACUGCAACUGACGUUGAGGCCCGAAAGCGUGGGGAGCAAACAGGAUUAGAUACCCUUGUAGUC
rnacentral:rRNA from 1 species